rnacentral:lncRNA from 1 species
GUCCCCCUCUCUACUCUCUUAUGAAUACCUUAUUUUCCUAGUAAUUCACCCCUAAUAAUAAAGCCCAACCCCAUUUUAAGUGUUGUAACCGUUGGUCAUUGAUGCCCUAUCCGAUUGACGUAGAACCCCGUAACGUAUGUCAAGGCUUUGCCUAAAUUCGUUGGGAUUCUGUCUCGUGACGUAGGGAUAAAGUGGAAUCGUGUUACUAUACUUAAUGUGAGUGCACUAUAUAUUUUAUUAAAUAACCCAGGAGUGAUACCCAAAAUAUAACAACCCUCCUAAAAUACCUCUGACACCCCUACACUUCCAAAAAUACACCCCAUAUGCGAAAACGGACCCCGAAUACCUUAAAUAUUAAUUAAAAUUCUGAUUUUUUGGAUUGAGGCGGGCCGCGUAAAUCCCACCCCAAUCCUUACGCGGGCCGCGAGAAGCCCAAAAUGUGGCGCAACCCUGGGCCGCCACCUGGCCCAACACCCGGCAAGCCUACAUAGUGACCCAGCUAAGCUACGCAUUGACCGGAGGUCAACGCGGGCCGCGUAGGCCCUAUGCUCAUGUUACGCGGGCCGCGAGAGGACUAGAUUCAGCAACUAUAAAUAGGAGGCCUUGGAUAUCAGUCGAAAUCAUUCAAAAAUCAUUUCUCAAUCUCAAUUUCUGAAUAGUAGGCUUUAUACGCGGGUAUUAUACCCUCCCUAAUUAGUGAAGCUUUGCCUCAUUGUAAGUAUCAUAACCCCUGGAUACAUAUUAGAUACUCUGCCCGAUUGAUCUAGGUUCCGUAACGGCUAUCGUGGUUCUGCCCGACGUAGUCAUUGGAAUGCCGUCUCGGGGAUGGUAUUACUAAUGUUAAAAUGAGUUAUUAUACUAACGCGUGUGUAUUGUUUAUUUCAUUAGAUUAUAACCAGGAAGUCAUAAAGGAAAGCCCUAUAAUAGCAAUGUAACUUAGUGUGAAGCCAAUAAAAGCCAGCUGGAGAGCACUGAAGGCUUGGAAAAGUGGCUAUAAAGUUAACUAAAAUUAAAUAGAUGUUUUUAUUAAAUAAAAUAGGAUUUAUUCCUAUAAAAAUGUGUGUACUGCAAAUUUGGGUUUUAUCCCGUGUGUUUAAUAUUAUGAAAAUAUGGUGGUUUUACU